UACCAUGAAGCCCAGUGACAGAAAACAGCCGGCGGAUCUGAUUAGCAGCUCUGGCGCGCUAAGGGAUGGUUGGAUCUCGCCCCCUGAAGAGGAAACUCUUGUGGAAUCUUCAGGAAACGGUGGUGCUGCCAUGUGGAAAACCGGCUACCGCUUUUCUGUUGCAGUCUCCUGCCUGCAUAGGCUACUGGUCUUGUUAGAUGGAUAUGGAGGCUUUUUUUCUUCUACCUCAAGUGCCCUCUAGCGUGCAAUAUCUGUGCAGGUUGCUAUGUAGAAGGAGGUGAAAAGAAUACCCUGGAGUCUGGCUCAUUAAUGCAGCCCUGAAGUCUUCUUCAAAGCAAAUCUUGUAUGCUGCAGAUUUGGGGAGCAAAGAGUAUUGGAGAAUCAGAGGAAGACAAUAAUGUAAGGAAAAA
rnacentral:lncRNA from 1 species